GGCGAGAUGGUCUAGUGGUAAGGACAAAGUUGUUGCAAGUGCCGGAAGCCAGGUUCGAUUCCUGGUUGUGUCA